GAUUAACGCUAGCGGCAGGCAUAAUACAUGCAAGUUGAACGGGAUUAGUUUAGCAAUAGACUAUGAGAGUGGCGCACGGGUGCGUAACACGUAUGCAACCUGCCCUUGACUGGAGAAUAGCCUCUCGAAAGAGAGAUUAAUGUUCCAUAACAUAAUGAUAGAGCAUUCUAUUAUUAUCAAAGCUCCGGCGGUCAAGGAUGGGCAUGCGGUUGAUUAGCUAGUUGGUGAGGUAACGGCUCACCAAGGCGACGAUCAAUAGGGGGUCUGAGAGGAUCUCCACCCACACUGGUACAGAGACACGGACCAGACUCCUACGAGAGGCAGCCGUAGGGAAGAUUGGUCAAUGGAGGCAACUCUGAACCAGCCAUGCCGCGUGCAGGAAGACUGCCCUAUGGGUUGUAAACUGCUUUUGUACGGGAAGAAACCUUCGAAUGCGUUCGAAGUUGACGGUACCGUGAGAAUAAGGAUCGGCUAACUUCGUGCCAGCAGCCGCCGUAAAAC
rnacentral:rRNA from 1 species